rnacentral:rRNA from 1 species
UAAGCCUGCGAAGGUGGCCUGUGAGGGUUGCUGGAGGUAUCAGAAGUGCGAAUGCUGACAUAAGUAACGAUAAAGCGGGUGAAAAGCCCGCUCGCCGGAAGACCAAGGGUUCCUGUCCAACGUUAAUCGGGGCAGGGUGAGUCGACCCCUAAGGCGAGGCCGAAAGGCGUAGUCGAUGGGAAACGGGUUAAUAUUCCCGUACUUGGUGUUACUGCGAAGGGGGGACGGAGAAGGCUAUGUUGGCCGGGCGACGGUUGUCCCGGUUUAAGCGUGUAGGUGUGUGUUCCAGGUAAAUCCGGUUCACUUUAACACUGAGGCGUGACGACGAGGCACUACGGUGCUGAAGCAACAAAUGCCCUGCUUCCAGGAAAAGCCUCUAAGCAUCAGGUAACAUCAAAUCGUACCCCAAACCGACACAGGUGGUCAGGUAGAGAAUACCAAGGCGCUUGAGAGAACUCGGGUGAAGGAACUAGGCAAAAUGGUGCCGUAACUUCGGGAGAAGGCACGCUGACACGUAGGUGAAGUGAUUUACUCAUGGAGCUGAAGUCAGUCGAAGAUACCAGCUGGCUGCAACUGUUUAUUAAAAACACAGCACUGUGCAAACACGAAAGUGGACGUAUACGGUGUGACGCCUGCCCGGUGCCGGAAGGUUAAUUGAUGGGGUCAGCGCAAGCGAAGCUCCUGAUCGAAGCCCCGGUAAACGGCGGCCGUAACUAUAACGGUCCUAAGGUAGCGAAAUUCCUUGUCGGGUAAGUUCCGACCUGCACGAAUGGCGUAAUGAUGGCCAGGCUGUCUCCACCCGAGACUCAGUGAAAUUGAACUCGCUGUGAAGAUGCAGUGUACCCGCGGCAAGACGGAAAGACCCCGUGAACCUUUACUAUAGCUUGACACUGAACAUUGAGCCUUGAUGUGUAGGAUAGGUGGGAGGCUUUGAAGUGUGGACGCCAGUCUGCAUGGAGCCGACCUUGAAAUACCACCCUUUAAUGUUUGAUGUUCUAACGUGGACCCGUAAUCCGGGUUGCGGACAGUGUCUGGUGGGUAGUUUGACUGGGGCGGUCUCCUCCUAAAGAGUAACGGAGGAGCACGAAGGUUGGCUAAUCCUGGUCGGACAUCAGGAGGUUAGUGCAAUGGCAUAAGCCAGCUUGACUGCGAGCGUGACGGCGCGAGCAGGUGCGAAAGCAGGUCAUAGUGAUCCGGUGGUUCUGAAUGGAAGGGCCAUCGCUCAACGGAUAAAAGGUACUCCGGGGAUAACAGGCUGAUACCGCCCAAGAGUUCAUAUCGACGGCGGUGUUUGGCACCUCGAUGUCGGCUCAUCACAUCCUGGGGCUGAAGUAGGUCCCAAGGGUAUGGCUGUUCGCCAUUUAAAGUGGUACGCGAGCUGGGUUUAGAACGUCGUGAGACAGUUCGGUCCCUAUCUGCCGUGGGCGCUGGAGAACUGAGGGGGGCUGCUCCUAGUACGAGAGGACCGGAGUGGACGCAUCACUGGUGUUCGGGUUGUCAUGCCAAUGGCACUGCCCGGUAGCUAAAUGCGGAAGAGAUAAGUGCUGAAAGCAUCUAAGCACGAAACUUGCCCCGAGAUGAGUUCUCCCUGAGACUUAGAGUCUCCUGAAGGAACGUUGAAGACGACGACGUUGAUAGGCCGGGUGUGUAAGCGCAGCGAUGCGUUGAGCUAACCGGUACUAAUGAACCGUGAGGCUUAACCUUACA